rnacentral:rRNA from 1 species
AACGAACGCUGGCGGCAGGCUUAACACAUGCAAGUCGAGCGCACCGCAAGGGGAGCGGCAGACGGGUGAGUAACGCGUGGGAAUCUACCCUGAUCUGCGGAAUAGCUCCGGGUAACUGGAAUUAAUACCGCAUAUGACCUGAGGGGCAAAGGUUGAACCGGAUUGGGAUGUGCUCGCGUUGGAUUAGCUUGUUGUGGGGGUAAAGGCCUACCAAGGCGACGAUCCAUAGCUGGUCUAAGAGGUUUAUCAGCCAGAUUGGGACUGAGACACGGCCCAAAGUCCUACGUGAGGCAGCAGUGGGGAAUAUUGGACAAUGGGCGCAAGCCUGAUCCAGCCAUGCCGCGUGAGUGAUGAAGGCCCUAGGGUUGUAAAUCUCUUUCACCGGGGACGAUAAUGACGGUACCCGGAGAAGAAGCCCCGGCUAACUUCGUGCCAGCCGCCGCGGUAA